AAGAAGGGAGGGAAGUUGGGCAGCUUCCCGGCAUGCCUUGCAACGCAAGGGAAAGGUUUGGCCAUUAAUGCAGCUGGCCAUAUGGGGGCUUUGGCAGAGGAGCAUCCCUCGCCAUCCUCGCCUGGCAGGGAUGAGGCAGACCAGGAGGCUGAGGGGAGGCUUGGGGGCAGAGGGCCUGAAACCCCCAAGCCCCCAUUUUGUGACUCUUUCCCCCAGUUUCCCUGUCUCCUGGGGUUGCCCCCCAGCUGUGGGGUCUGGUAAGUGGGAUGGGAUGCCUGAUUCCUCAAGGUGACAGCAUUUUUAACCUUCCUGACACUCAACCAUGUCACUGUUUAUUCAUCUGAAAAGUGAGCCUAAUCCUGAAUCUCUGUAUCACAAGUGUCCUUGUCUUUUGGAGAGAUGCCUCAUUUUAAGAAGAGUAUAGACAUGUUGGAGCAGAUUCAGAGAAGAGCAACAAAGAAGGAAAGAAACCAGGAGGGAGGUGACAUGGAAAUGUGGGAGGAACAAGGUUGUUUUGCUUUGUCCUGACAGUGAACGUCUCUGGUGCAAACCUGUAGUUACUGAAUAAAGGUUUGCUGAGUUUACUACUGAAACCUGGAAUUUCUGAACUUUGGAAGGCACCGGUUUUGACAAUAUUAUGAAGCCAUAACAGUAAAAAGUAGGGACAGGCAAUUUGGACACAUCCCUCCUCAAAACUAGGGUGAGGCCUAAGCACUCAAUAAACAGGGAGUGCUGAGCUGUGAGAAGAGCAAGAUGGAGGGGAAGUAAAUUCAACAAGAAAUGCAAUUUUGGAAAUGUUCAGCAGGAGGAAAGUUGAUGAAAUAGGACACUUGCCAAGCCACCUUCAGAGCUUUCCCAUUUACACCUCUCCUGGAAGUGCCACCCUUGACAACCUUCAGCACAUGGGAUCAGCAGCUCCCACACAGCUUAACCUUGUUCCUUUCCUUCUCUGGGAUUCAAAUGUUUCUUCCGCUUGCAUGAUCUAAUAUGAACCAGCUUGUGUCCACUUAUGACUGAGUCACCCAUUUUUUGAAUUCUAAAUUACAGGCUGGACAGACAGGAUGACAGACAUAAAUCUGUCAGAAUUUUCCUUAGAAUAAAGUGCUACAGUAAGAUCAA